UCUUCUGGGGAAGUCACAGCUUGGAGUGUGUUUCAAGUGCAGUCUGACGGGAAAAUGGAGCAUGCACCCUCCCCCUCCUGCCCUUGUCUUUCCGUCUCCAUGGUGACUCACCACUUUGCCUGCCACAUCCCAGCAUCCCAGCCUCUGCCAGGGACUCGGAGCCGGCCGGUCCCUCCCUCCUCCGGGCUUGUUCCCGCAGCCCUGCCUCCUCCCCCGGGGCGAGUCCAGAGGCAGCCUCCUCUUCCAUCUAUUCUUCAGCUCUGGCAGCCGGCUCCUCGGGGAGACCAUCCCCACACCCUCCACCUGCACAGCGCACCAGCCCUUCCAUCCUCCGCUGCUCAAGGAGAGGAACCAGAGCUUCAUGGGAAACAGCAGCAACAGUUGGUCCCACGCACCGUCCCCCAGGCUGGAGCGGGGCCUG